rnacentral:misc_RNA from 1 species
GAUGAAGAACGUAGCGAAUUGCGAUAAGUAGUGUGAAUUGCAGAAUUCAGUGAAUCAUCGAAUCUUUGAACGCACAUUGCGCCCCUUGGUAUCCCGAGGGGCAUGCCUGUUCGAGCGUCAUUUCACCACUCAAGCCUGGCUUGGUGUUGGGCGACGUCCUCUUUGGGGACGCGCCUCGAAACGCUCGGCGGCGUGGCACCGGCUUUAAGCGUAGCAGAAUCUUUCGCUUUGGAAGUCGGGGCCCCGUCUGCCGGAAGACCUGCUCGCAAGGUUGACCUCGGAUCAGGCAGGGAUACCCGCUGAACUUAAGCAUAUCAAUAAGCGGAGGA